GAUGAACGCUGGCGGCGUGCUUAACACAUGCAAGUCGAGCGAGAAGUUUUGAAAAGAUUCUUCGGAUGAAAUUUAAAAUGGAAAGCGGCGGACGGGUGAGUAACGCGUAGGCAACCUGCCCCAUACAAAGGGAUAGCAUUUGGAAACGAAUAUUAAUACCUUAUGAAACUUAACUAGUGCAUGCUAGGUAGGUCAAAGAUUUAUCGGUAUGGGAUGGGCCUGCGUCUGAUUAGCUAGUUGGUGAGGUAACGGCUCACCAAGGCGACGAUCAGUAGCCGACCUGAGAGGGUGAACGGCCACAUUGGAACUGAGACACGGUCCAAACUCCUACGGGAGGCAGCAGUGGGGAAUAUUGCACAAUGGGGGAAACCCUGAUGCAGCAACGCCGCGUGAACGAUGAAGGCCUUUGGGUCGUAAAGUUCUGUUCUAGGUGAUGAAAACUGACAGUAACCUAGGAGAAGGCCCCGGCUAACUCCGUG
rnacentral:rRNA from 1 species